rnacentral:lncRNA from 1 species
UGGAAUUGGAAUUGUAGUUUCCAGAAGUAGGGUCUAGAAGAAGAAAAAAAAACAAUAAAACAAACAAAUAAACAAACAAAACACACACAUGCACAUGCACAAUGUUUGUUUACACAUACUCAUCAAUGCUUCACAAGCUUAUUUUUUUUUCAUUUUUUUUUUUUUAUUAAUCUGACAUAUAAAUCAAAAAAUGUGAUGUAUCUUCUUAAACAAGUAAUUUCACAUAGUACUCUUCUAUAC